GGUGCCCUGCCCUUUGUCCUUCCCACUCGCCCCGCCCGUGGUUCCCCUGGGCCUGGGUCCGCCCGCGACGGCCCCCAAGCUCCCACUGGGGCCUGGAGGACAGAGUUUACCGGAGAGACCCCCUUGUUGGAGAUCUCCCGCUGAAGGACGCGGCCGCGUCGCUGAAUUUGCCCGGAAGGGGGAGUAGGAGUUCUCCUGCCUGUCACUCUCAGUCAAGCCUCGUGAAUUUCUCUCGUUCCCUUCUACACGCGCCCUCCGCAGUCUCUUCAAAUUGUCAUCCCACCCUGACAGCUGCACUGCAUCAGUGGUGACAGGUCCAGGAACGCAGGCAGUGAAAAGAAGAGAUUGGACCUGGAAAAGAAACUUUAUGAACAUAAUCAAUCUGAUAUAUGCAGCCUCUCAUUAAAAUCAAAUUCCACUGGGAGAAAUUACACACUUGCACCGUGAUUGGGAAGAACAGGCCGCGUUCACUCAACCACUGAUGGAACUGGAGGGUCAUCAGACGAGCAGGUAGUGAUCUCAGCUGGUCUUGAACCGCAAACUGGCUCCUGGCUGCAGCUCCAGCCUCAGUUCAGAUCUUCUGUUGUUAGCGAGUGGCUUGCGCAUGCGUGGUUCAGUCCGUCAGAAAGGUUAAGGAGAUGUAACCACCAGCCAUCCUGAAACUGACCAAAUGAGGCACUCAAGGGAGAUGUAACCACCAGCCAUCCUGAAACUGACCAAAUGAGGCACUCAAGGGAGAUGUAACCACCAGCCAUCCUGAAACUGACCAAGCCUCACCACAAGAGCUAUGCCCAUGACCUUUGCUUUAUUUUUAAUGCAAAGAUCUCUCCAGGAGGAGCUUAGGCCUCAUUAUGUGGAAGCAUGUUCUCCAACUGAGCCUGUGCUAGUGAAUACCCCCACCUCUCCCUUUUGAAUAUUAUUCCCCAACUGAAAUAAAAGUUCCUGCUUCCCUUAGUUCUGGGACGCCAUGACUUUGGAAAUGAUUCCUCACGGCCUCCUAUUUGCUGCAAAUACAGUUUACUUUGUGAGACAAC